rnacentral:misc_RNA from 1 species
UCUCCGUUGGUGAACCAGCGGAGGGAUCAUUACCGAGUUUUUCUACUCACAAACCUCUGUGAACUUAUACCUUUACUGUUGCUUCGGCGGGUUAACGUCCCGGAAGGCCCAAAAAGCCGCCGGAACCAGGCGCCCGCCGGGGGACCCAAACUCUAGUAUUUCUUACUUUGCAUGUCUGAGUGGAAUCAUAAACAAAUGAAUCAAAACUUUCAACAACGGAUCUCUUGGUUCUG